CUUGCCUCGGGGCUCUUUUCCGACUUCUUCGAGAUUUAGUCUUCCUUUCAUCGUUCAGUUCAAGAGAAUUACUAUUCCCACUUGAUGGAUUUUUCACCUGGCCUGGUGUCUUCUGAUUUGGCAGAUCUUGAAGCGCCAAACCGCGGCCUUUCGACACGGGAGCGCUUGCCGAUAGAUUCGCGUCGCCAAAUUCCUCUAAAUUUCUCGACGCUCUUUUCCGCCUCCUUCGUUGGCGUUCGCUUUUGGACGGAUUAUUAAAAGAAUCGUCGGACAUAGUUGAAAAAGAACGACAAAAGAAACGCUUUUAAUGUGUUCUUUUCGCUUGAAAAUUCGCAGGCAUUUUUGUAUGGUUGUUAUGUUUUUAUAUUUGAAGAUUUGUUUACUUGUGUUGCCACUUUGCCAAAGAAGCGCUUCUAUUCACCUUCGAGAAUCGAGAC
rnacentral:lncRNA from 1 species